UACGAAGGGGGCGAGCGUUGUUCGGAUUUACUGGGCGUAAAGGGCGCGUAGGCGGCCCUGUUUGUCGCGUGUGAAAGCCCCGGGCUCAACCUGGGAACGGCGCGCGAUACGGCGGGGCUAGAGAUCGGGAGAGGAGCGUGGAAUUCCCAGUGUAGAGGUGAAAUUCGUAGAUAUUGGGAAGAACACCGGUGGCGAAGGCGGCGACCUGGUCCUUGACUGACGGCUGAGGCGCGAAAGCGUGGGGAGCAAACAGG
rnacentral:rRNA from 1 species